rnacentral:tRNA from 1 species
GGAGAUAUGGCAGAGUGGUUUAUUGUACUCCCCUGCUAAGGGAGAGUACUUAUAGUACCGUAGGUUCAAAUCCUACUAUCUCCU